GACAGAGGAUGCAAGCGUUAUCCGGAAUGAUUGGGCGUAAAGCGCACGUAGGCGGAUUGGAAAGUCAGAGGUGAAAUCCCAGGGCUCAACCUUGGAACUGCCUUUGAAACUCCCAGUCUUGAGUUCGAGAGAGGUGAGUGGAAUUCCGAGUGUAGAGGUGAAAUUCGUAGAUAUUCGGAGGAACACCAGUGGCGAAGGCGGCUCACUGGCUCGAUACUGACGCUGAGGUGCGAAAGCGUGGGGAGCAAACAGG
rnacentral:rRNA from 1 species